UUGAUGUUACCUAUAAUUGAUGAGUGAACGUUUAAAUCUUAUUUUUAUAACAAAAUACUAACGAUACUUGAACAGAUUCGUGUUACUAAAGCUUGAUUUUUGUCUAAGAAAUGUAAUAAAAAUACAAUUUCUUUUGAAAAAGUCAAAAUAACCUAAUAUUUAUUCUAAAUCUGGCAAAGUCAUCGAGGCCGCAUUAUAAGCUCUUGAGGGCCGCAUGCGGCCCGCGGGCCGUAGUUUGGAGACCCCUGAGAUAGAGCAUGGAGUUAGUAAUGAAGGAAGGAGUUGGAUGGGGCUGUGCGUUAGGCUCGUCUUUCUAGAAGGACGUUGAUCGUUCGGGACAUCUGGGAAUGGAUUUAUUAUGUAUGUGUGUAUUAGGUUUGAUGGGUGUUUUGGUGGUGCAUGACACAAAGGGUUCGUUUAAGAAACAUCUUAGGCUAAGGCUGUAGAUUCAUCAGAGGAGAUGCAAUAUUCAAACAUUUGGGGAUUACCGAUAAGUCGUUGCUGGGAUCACUUUUCUGUUUUAGAUGGCAGUAAGUAACCUUUCAAUGAAUUAUAGAACAUGUCACAGAUAACUCGUUCCAAGUUUACAAUAUCUCAAACAAGAGCCAAAAAGUGAUCAAGAAGUCAAUUAAUAAUCAUUAAAUUAUAGUUUUUUGCUUAACCUAUGGCAUUCUGUAGUGUGAAUCGAUGUCUGCACUGCAAAAUGUCACGCGAUGUUCGUGUUUAGCCGCAUUAAGACUAAUUUUGGAGAGUAUUGAAAUGUUGAAAAUCUUCUUCAGGACACAACAAAACUUUCUACAGGCAUUGUACAAUGUACUCUCUUCAGAACCAUAUCCGAAGAAUAAGACACCGUCAAGAUAUGGAUGAAAGAUGAACCUACAAAAUGUGUCUUCGCUCGAUGUAUUUGGCUUGAAAGAUAAAUUUAAAUAAACGUACGCAAUGGGAACGAAGCUGACUUUGACUUACAUUCCCACGUGUGUCCUCUUCUCCCUUGAUUUUCAACUCACAUCCAACCGUACCCACUGGCACAGUAACAACCCUUUUCCGAACCCGAAAAGAUUGAUAUGCAAAUGCGUGCGUGUAAUUACCUGUGCCAAACAGUGCUGGCAAUAAUUAUAAUAACAAUAACAGCACACACACAAACACACAGGCAGCAACAAUAACAUUCUCUUCUUCUGCUGGAUUUCAUCGAGAUCGUUCGUUGUGGAUAGUUUCCCUCUCUUUUUGUCUUGCCUACUCGCUCUCACACACACACAAACACACUGGCACACAAUGGUGUCGGUUUUUAGGAGUGGUGGACAUUAAAAGCCUCCGCCAUGUCCUCGCUCUGACCCGACCGAGUGCAAACAGUUUUUCUAACCUAGAAAACGCACUCUCAAGGCCACCCCGGAGGCUAAUGGAGGAAAAACUCGACCACACACCUCAUCCCUCCGGAAAGGGGGAUGGAAAGCAGAAAGGGUAAAGGGUGUGUGAGGGGUGUGUGUGUGUGCAAAAACAGUUGGAAAAAGUUCAUUCGUCAUUCGACAAUGACGCCAUGAUGAUGCUGCCCAUGAUGCUGCUGAUGAGGUGGAAAGACACACACACACAUGAAAUCGAGGAGUUCGUUGGCCGGCAGUCUCUACAAACCGAAACAACAACAACAAUAAUAAUGACCCAAAACACCGCACCAGGAAGGGUAGACAGAAACGCAUCGUCCUUAUCGUCCACCCAAAGCCACCAAGCCCGGCGGCUCCACAAACACACGCGCCCGCCGCUUUGAUACACUUUUGACCCCGGGGAGGUGGGUUGUGGGUUGACUUGCGCGGGCUUUAGCCAUGUGCGCGCAAAAAGGUGGUGCGUGUUUGCGGGGUGAGAAUGGCUGAUUUUCGAACCAGUUUCGAGGAAUUUGGGAAGCGUAUUCCGUGAUUUUGAUACACACUCGGGAGUGUGUGUAGAGGUGUGUGUGUGUGUGCUUGGGACACCAACACACAAAAUGCACCGCGUUGCACAGCGCAUCAAACUGCAGAAACUGCGUCGCGGGUGCAAAUUUGCCACGUUUUCGGUCAAAAUUUGUUGCUCCGGCCGGCUCCGGCGGUGGGGGAUUGGGGCUGCAAGCACGGAAGCAAGAGGAAAUGCUGGAAUGGAGACGCAUGCAGUUUUUGCCGCUGCUGCUGCUGCUGCUGUAGAUACUGCUUGCUUUGCUUUCCGCACUGCUCGCACUCGCUCUCUCCGCCUCGUUUCGUUCGGCUCGAUCGUUCCCUCUCGCUUCUCUCGCUGCGCUGGUUGUAAAAUUGCGCAAGGCAGAUUCUUUUUCUUUUCCCUUCCCUCACUGUUCGCUAUUUGGUACUGCUACACCGAACCAAGGGAACGGUUGCGCGUGUGUUGGUAGGCACUCCUCCCCCACCAGCGGGAAAAUCGCGUCGCAAAUAGCGAAACGCCGGCCGGAACGACUGGAAGGGAUGAAGCGAGGACCGUGUACGUACACGAGCGCCUGGGAGUGGGGAUGAACGUUUUACACUUGCCCAUUAUACACACACACACACACACACACUUACACCCCAACUCAACAACCCCCACCCCAUACUGUAUUUGCGUUGCUUCACAAACAGCCGAGGUGGGAAAUAGCGUAUGUCUGUGUGUGUGUGUGUGAGAGAGAGCGAAACGGCAACAACAUCUGUCAUCUCACGUCAUCUUGCGCCCCACACACGGAACGACGCAUGCGCCUGCAGUGCAAUUGGAAGUGCAAUUGCCCAUCGCACACCCCUCAUUUGUGUACACGCACCACCACCACCAUCACCGCCACAACCGAUCUGUGUGUGUGUGUGUGUGUGUAUUUGUGCGCAAUUGACGAGGGUGAGGCCGUGUGUGAGUGAGCGAGCGAGAAAGUGCUACAGUGCUAAGAGCACCCACAAACGAGAGCGAGAGAGCGCGCGCGCCCGCGAGUGAAUUGAGGGUGAGCUCGCGCUACGUGAAGGUGUGUGCGUGCGCGCGAUGGGUUGCCGUGGGUGACCGAGCGAGAGGGCGUGCGGUGUAGUGCCGUCUCAGCCGCACGGCCGACUGCGUGGACACGUUCCUUGGGCACAGUUUAAGGGAAGAAAUUUUAUUUUAUUUCAAACGUUCGUGCCGUACAGUCGCGCCGUGGUCGUCUGCUGCCGUGCCCCGUUUGCUGUGUCCCGUUGUGUGUGCGCGCGCGGACACCAAGUCCCCGGUCCUGUGGCCAAGGAAGGUACACGCACGUACCAACACACACACACACACACACGGACACACAAGGUUACACGUAAUGGUUUUUUAUCCAAACCAGUAGGAAAAAGGGCUUGCACGAAAAAGCGAGUUGGAAAAUCUAAGCUCACGGCGAAAACGAAAAGGCAGCAGCAGUGCAGUAUCGCGUGUUUGUUGCGUGUUUUCGGUGCGUUUUUGUUGCGCUUCUCGGGUGUGCGUCGCGAAAAUAAAAUAAAAAAACCAGAUUGCGUGCGGUGUACGACACUUUCCAGUUGGCUUUCCGCUGGCCGGUCGGAACGGAAAACGGAAUCGAACGCGUCGGCGGAAAUUCGCGAGCGGAGGUUUUGCGGAGAAAAAUCCGGUGCAAUGGUGUAAAGUUUUUCUUUCCAAAUUUUUAUUCCACAAAGAACGCUGUGCCGGGCACGAAAUUGAGGGAAGAUUUUUACUCAACAACUGUGAACCAACAAGUCUGAUAAGAAAACGCAGCGUUUGACGGGAAAAAUGUUGAUGGGAUUUUUUUGUUGCGUUUCUCGAUAUCCCUAAACCGGCCAUCUUCAACCCGAACACACACUGGAGCCAAUCGGAAAAAUCGGCUAAGUCGCGAGUGAUUUUUUUUUAGUUUCAUAAAAAAUUGUGACGAUUUCUGAAGCUAAUCAGUGAAAAGUGGUGAGGCAUUUUUUUAAAAUUCAGACACCAACGAAGAGAAUACAAGACUGCAAUAAUUUUGUAAAACGUUCGUUAUCAUCCUUUGUCCCAUGCUAAAUUAAUGCCAAAAAAGACUCAACAAAAGGAAAUUAUGGCCUUUUUAAGUUGAAAAAAACCCCAAAAAAUCAUGUGGAAGAACUGACUGACUGCGAGGGUUGAGUGUUGAGCCUAAAAGCCCUUUACGAAAAUGUGAAUCUAAUGUGCCUAAACGAAUGAAAUGAUGACGCCUUUGAAGCCCGCGGGAUUGUCAUUUGCCACCAUGCCACCAACCAUGCACGGAACCCCGCUCCACACCUCAUCAAGGCUAACAAUCAAUAGUUCCUCACCACCCAAAUCGGAACCAUCUGCUGCGGCACGGUGUCUCGGUGAUCAUUUAACUCCUGCCGCGGGGCUUUCGGGUCGGUUAAGACGGACCAGGUAAACUCCAACUUUACAAAGACCACCACAGAAAAAAAAACCGAUCAUUUGAGGCUUGCGGCAACUCUCCCGCUUGUUUUUUGUUGUGUGUGGCAUGGCACACCACAAACCGAAACAUAUGUAUCGAAUGUCGUCCGCGCCAUCGACGGCACCAGCACCGGAGGCGGUGGAAGCUGAAACACGAAAAACAACAACCUUCCUUCCUCGCCGGGGAGCUGCCCGGGACUGACCUAUAAUUAUGAGUACCAGCCGGCAGGCAUUCCAAGGCCUUCCUGAAAGCCUUUCUGGAGGAGGAGGAGGAGGUGGGGCGGUAUCGGCUUUCAGUUGUGCGGUCAAAUGGUCACUGAGGCUUCGGCUUCUUAUCGACACGUCCACGAAAACAUACCAAAAUCCUCUCCAACCAAGGCUUGGAGAAGCUUUCGCUGGCCAAAACCGGUGCCCAUGUUGGAGUUGGACCAGCAGCGCAAAAAAUUACAAAAUCUUCAAAGAAAUCACUGGAAUUUCGCAUGCCUUUGUUGCUGCGUUUACAAAUUUUUAAGAGUCUCCUUUUCUUUUUUUUUAGCUCGGCUCGCUUCCCAUUUCGCUUUAGCGCUUUGCGGGCCACGGCAAAAAUGGUCGGACGCCAACUAACGCGUAUUCCGGCUUCAACGGUAGCAACCCAUUACACAAACACAGACACACACACACACACCACCAUUCUCGGCAGCGAUUUUGAAAAGGUCAAAUCAUGUUUUCAUGUCGUUGUUUUUUGUUGCUUCGGGAUGGUUCGCACGCAACUCGGUUGUGGGGAAAUGCAAGCGAGCGGAGGAAAAAUGCACCGCCAAUUGCAUUCCUUUCGGGACUGUGCGGAGAGCGGUGCAGCGGUGGGGUUUUAAUUUUUUUGUUGUGCUGCUGUUUCAAUCUUUGACAUUUUAUUUCGGGGGUUUUCAGUCGCUUGCAUGCGAACAACAAGGCUUUUGUUGGGUUUUGUUUGGGAAAGACUCUUAGUUCUUGGAGGACUUUUGGGAUUUCAGAAGACAGCAUUUAUUUUUUUAUUUCGGCAAAGACCUGAGAGUUAAGUCCUAGAUGAUCUGGAAAUAUGCAAGCAAAACAAUCAAUUAUUGAGUGCAAAAUGCACCGUACUACAUCACACAAGUGAAGACGUUUCGCCAACUUCACUCGCCAUUCAGAUUGAUGUCUUACUCCCGACGCGGGCCAGCAUGAUUGAUCAGCGCGGCCCCAUAAACCUGUCCAAUUUCCAUAUCGAUGGAAGGCGUCUGGUGCCGCUGGUGCCUAAUAUCUAUCUCCCUUCUCCCGACCUGCCGUGGCUUGAUUUAUUGUCCUGCCGGAGGUGAAGCCCAUUGCCGCUCAUUUUUCAUCCACCAUCCUGAUGACGAUCAUUAUGCAGCGUGUAGCGGAGUGUUUUCGUGUGUUGAUGUGCCAAUAGUCCAAUAGCCGGCGGACGGGAUCCUUCGUUAAGGGCUCGGCUGCGUCGCAAGCAACUCUGCGCCUCCGCACGUCUGCGCCUCCUUCGCCACGGCUGCCAAAUUGCUUCCCUUCACCUGUUUAAUGAUCUUCGCCAACCCUUUCGCUUCACCGUGAACGCUCCAGCGGCGUGGAUUUGCUCUCAUCCGUUGUGGCGUCGAGCGGUUUGUCGUAGGUGGGCGUCAUGUAAGGCGCGAAAAAAAAAACACACUCACACACACUGAUUAAUGUUCGAUGAUGUGGCGGAAUCCUUUCCGCAGUUUGCGUGUGUGUUUGGGUGUGUGGGAGAAGGUUUUUUUGGGCAGAAUAAUUAACGCCCGUCGAGGUUAGGAGAUCAAAGCAAGGCGGAGAACCGAUCGUUGUGGAAAGUCUGGCAAAGCAUUGGAAAGGUGCUCGAGACGUUAAUGAAGAUUUGUGGGAAGGUUUUUUUGGGGCUUGGUUGCCGAAUUCUCACCGGAUGGAGAAUUAUGAUGAGAAGAUGUUGUUGGUUUUGAUAUUUAAGAGCUUAUUCCUGCGACAUGGAAAGCAGCUAGCAAAUAGACAAGAAAAAGCAUUCUUGUCUUUUUACAACCUUCCGGGAGGGCGGCUGUCAAAUGGCAGGGCUACCGUGCUGAAGUAAAAGAUCCCUCACACCCGGCUCCAGUUUCCAGGGUUGAAUAGUUUCCGAUGCAAUUAAUUUUUUUGCCAUCGUCGUUUGUUAAUUGAAACUUUAGAGCCCCUCUGUUGGUGCAGCUAGAACGCCCGGAGAGGGUAAUCAAUCUAGGAGGCAAGCAAAACUGGGGGACAGCAUAGACACGGUCGCAAACCAACAGAAAACCGUGCCAUGUGGAGAUGACAUCCAUCAACCGAAGCCGUAGAUAUCCGCAGAUGCUCCCGGUAGCGAAAGGGUUUCCCUCCGAUUGCCCCGCUUUGAGCCGAGCGCGGCUCACACGAAAUAUGAUCUACAACCCAGCAGCAGCAGCAGGCAUGAACACAGACACGGCAAAAGGGGUUUGGACAAUUUUAAUUUCACAACAUGACUCCACCACCUCCGCACACUGCGCCCCCGGUGCGCGGCCCACAAUGUGUUUAAAUUGCGAUGAUAUUUUUAAGCGAGCGCGCGCCCUCUAAACCACACGAGCUGCCGGGGCCUCCUGCCGGUGUGGACUGUGACGGUGUUGCUUGAGCUAAGCCGCAUCUCGUCGCGUUGGCGUCGACGGCCGGCUACGCCUCUGCUCGGUGGGAGGGCCCCUUCGCUCACUGCCAAGGGGGGGCUACGGAGUGUAAACAAAGGCUAGCGUCACAGGGGCACCGGGUUCGAUUCGAGUCCAACCAUUGAGUCCCUUCUGUGUGCGCGAGUACUUGGGCGGGAAGUCAAAAGCAAAGGGACAAGUCUUUGCAGCUGCCAAUGCUCGCGACAAUGCAAAUCCUACCAACACGGGGAUUGACUGGACUGGAGUUUGACCGGCCUGUGAGCUAACGUUGCCAACGGUACACGAAAGAAUCAAGCGAACGCAAGACAUCGAAUUUGCCCAGAAAGAACCCGCAUCUCAAGUGCACUCCAGUGGCGGUGACGCAACAACGCGUUGGGAAGGGUCUUUUUCGCCCGGCUGGGACAGCUCUUCCGAGCUCUCGGGAAUCUCGCGCAGUUUGCGCGCUCUUCGCCCUUAAGUGGUGUGCUUAGGCGUACCGAAAGUGGCCCAAAGCCCAAAAACUCAUACACAAAACCACAGGGCGUAGUAUCGUUCCCGGUUGGGGAAGUUCUCGUACGCGGAGCAGCGAGCGAAGCCGUACGACGACGGUUGGUUCUUAUGCUGGAAUAGAAAUUUUGGAGAUGGUAAGACGCGAGGCACUCCUGCCAUCGCUUUGCCUUGCACAGAACCAAGUGGUGCUUGUACUGGGCUGUUCUUUUCGUUUCGAGUGUGGUUUUCGUCGUAUCAGAAAGGUUGUGUCCUACCCAUGCCCGUGCUUCAUCUGCCCUCUGCCCCGGCCUUGUUUUUGCUUGUGAUUAUUUUUUGAAAAGUAUCGAUUUCAUCCAAGAAACUUCGGCACAGCGCGCCAGAGGUCGUACCGGGGCAUUCCUUUGGGUUGAUUCGAUUGGUUUCGGUCCUGGGCACCGAGUGCCUGUGUUUCUUGCGUUCGCUCUUGACAUUGAUGCUGACAUGUGUUUCCUCUCCGCACGCUGUCCUUUCUGUCUCUGUCUGGGCGAUGGUUCCUGCGAGUGGUAACCUGAACACCCCGUGAAGCCUUCCACGGGGAAGCGAGAUAAAGAGCGACACUGGUUCGAAUGUAAUCGAAGAUCGUACGCUUCUCGCUUCCUAGGCAAAGGAAGACGGCAAAGGCCCAGCGAUCGUUUUCUUCCUCCUCUUCUACUUCUUCCCAUUGCUUCCUUUGAUCGUGGAGAUCGGUUUCAAUCGGUGACCAACAGGCCGAAGGAAGCAGGAAAAGAGGAUACUCGCACGGCGUUUCGGCCUUAACCCCUGUGUGCCACGAUCACAAAACCACAAAGUUCGGUGGAAACCUGUUCAAUAAAACUUUAUUACCUUAA